rnacentral:rRNA from 1 species
UACAGAGGGGGCAAGCGUUUGUUCGGAAUUACUGGGCGUAAAGGGCGCGUAGGCGGCCUUCUAAGUCGAACGUGAAAUCCCUGGGCUCAACCCAGGAACUGCGUCCGAUACUGGAAGGCUUGAAUCCGGGAGAGGGAUGCGGAAUUCCAGGUGUAGCGGUGAAAUGCGUAGAUAUCUGGAGGAACACCGGUGGCGAAGGCGGCAUCCUGGACCGGUAUUGACGCUGAGGCGCGAAAGCCAGGGGAGCAAACGGG